rnacentral:hammerhead_ribozyme from 1 species
AUCCAGCUGACGAGCCCUAAAUAGGACGGUACGUGAGUCGUGGAU